rnacentral:rRNA from 1 species
CACGAAGGUUGGCUAAGUACGGUCGGACAUCGUACGGUUAGUGCAAAGGCAGAAGCCAGCUUAACUGCGAGACAGACACGUCGAGCAGGUACGAAAGUAGGUCUUAGU